CCGGCUAACUUCGUGCCAGCAGCCGCGGUAAUACGAAGGGACCUAGCGUAGUUCGGAAUUACCGGGCGUAAAGCGCGCGUAGGCCGUUGAUUUAGUUAAUUGUGAAAUCCCAAAGCUUAACUUUGGAACUGCAAUUAAAACUGCUCGACUAGAGUUUGAUAGAGGAAAGCGGAAUACAUAGUGUAGAGGUGAAAUUCGUAGAUUUUAUGUAAAACACCAGUUGCGAAGGCGGCUUUCUGGAUCAACACUGACCCUAAGGCGCGAAAGUAUGGGUAGCAAAGAGGAUUAGAUACCCUCGUAGUCCAUACCAUAAACGAUGAUUGCUAGAUGUUGGAAAUUUAUUUUCAGUAUCGCAGCUAACGCAUUAAGCAAUCCGCCUGGGGAGUACGACCGCAAGGUUAAAACUC
rnacentral:rRNA from 1 species